rnacentral:misc_RNA from 1 species
GAUGAAGAACGUAGCGAAAUGCGAUAAGUAAUGUGAAUUGCAGAAUUCAGUGAAUCAUCGAAUCUUUGAACGCACAUUGCGCCCUCUGGUAUUCCGGGGGGCAUGCCUGUUCGAGCGUCAUUAUAACCACUCAAGCUCUCGCUUGGUAUUGGGGUUCGCGGUUCCGCGGCCCCUAAAAUCAGUGGCGGUGCCUGUCGGCUCUACGCGUAGUAAUACUCCUCGCGAUUGAGUCCGGUAGGUCUACUUGCCAGCAACCCCCAAUUUUUACAGGUUGACCUCGGAUCAGGUAGGGAUACCCGCUGAACUUAAGCAUAUCAAUAAGCGGAUGA